rnacentral:rRNA from 1 species
GAUGAACGUUGGCGGUGUGCCUAAUACAUGCAAGUCGAACGGAGUUAGUAGCAAUACUGGCUCAGUGGCGAACGGGUGAGUAACGCGUUGGUGAUCUGCCUUGAAGUGUGGAAUAACGUUUCGAAAGGAACGCUAAUACCGCAUGUGCUCUCGAUUUUCAGAAAGUUGAGAGUAAAGGAUUUAUUCGCUUCGGGAGGGGCCUGCGUCCCAUCAGCUAGUUGGUAGGGUAAUAGCCUACCAAGGCGAUGACGGGUAGGGGACCUGAGAGGGUGGCCCCCCACAAUGGAACUGAAACACGGUCCAUACACCUACGGGUGGCAGCAGUAGGGAAUAUUAGUAAUGGGCGAAAGCCUGAACUAGCAACGCCGCGUGUGCGAAGAAGGCCUUCGGGUUGUAAAGCACUUUUAGAGAGGAUGAGGAAGGACGGUACUCUCAGAAUAAGUCUCGGCUAACUACGUG